CUUCACCGAACCCAGGAGCAGCGGCCGGUCGGCCGGACGGUCCUGGCCAUAGGUGGCAAGCAGAGCCUGCGCCUC
rfam:Streptomyces sp. NRRL S-1521 P341contig195.1, whole genome shotgun sequence.